rnacentral:rRNA from 1 species
UGGGGAAUAUUGCGCAAUGGGCGAAAGCCUGACGCAGCAACGCCGCGUGAGUGAUGAAGGCCUUCGGGUCGUAAAGCUCUGUCGGAGGGAACGAAUGCUCCUGAAGUUAACAGCCUCAGGAGGUGACGGUACCCUCAAAGGAAGCACCGGCUAACUCUGUGCCAGCAGCCGCGGUAAUACAGAGGUGGCAAGCGUUGUUCGGAAUUACUGGGCGUAAAGGGCGCGUAGGCGGCCCUCUAAGUCAGACGUGAAAUCCCCCGGCUUAACCUGGGAACUGCGUCUGAUACUGGAGGGCUUGAGUAUGGGAGAGGGAUGUAGAAUUCCAGGUGUAGCGGCGAAAUGCGUAGAUAUCUGGAGGAAUACCGGUGGCGAAGGCGGCAUCCUGGACCAUUACUGACGCUGAGGCGCGAAAGCUAGGGGAGCAAACGGGAUUAGAUACCCCAGUAGUCCCUGAG